rnacentral:lncRNA from 1 species
UCAGAAGUACACUAUUGUGAUGAAACUUAGUAAAACUGCCUACAUGGAAUUACACUGGAAGCCCUGUAGUAAGUGGACUAUGACCAACCAAAGCUGGAAUGGAGAUGUUUGAGAGGGACUCACUUCCUGCGUCAUCAAACCCCAUGGGCUGAGGAACUUUUGUCUAGGCUGCCACAGAAGCCUUCCCUGUUAUGUCCUGUGUGUGACUGCUUGUUCCCAUCUUCAGUGCCCUCCCUCUCCUCUUCAGGAAGAAGUUCCAGGCAGGCGGUACCUCACUGAGGCCGUGCAUGAAGCCUUGACACCCCUCCCUCCCUUGGUCUUGAGCCUGUUAGAAGAAUGCUGAGGUUUUGGGCCUCCACCCGGAGGUACCCAGCAGUAACUUCAAGGAGCUAAUGAGUAAAGCACAGUAAUGAGAAUAAAUCCCAAUGAGCUUAUUAAAAUAACUGAACCACAACUUUGGCAAGGGCAGGAACCAUUGUCUGGAACUUGUUUGUCCAUUUGCAGAGUAUUGUAGCAUGCCUUUGUAUAUCCCCUCACCCUUUCAGAACAGAGAGAUUAGCAACAAAAGACAGAUUUUUCAAAGCUACACACAGCCGUGAUUUAUAUCCCGCUCUAGAGACUGUUGGGAUGGCUUCUUUGGAUUGAAAAGGGUACCAGCCGAUCUCUGUUUUAAUGGGCCACCUGGGACUUUAGCUGUAGUGUGUGUGUAAAGCAGAAGAACUCUGAUCCAACCUCCAUCUUUUUUGGAAAGGCUUCUUUGUAAUUGCUUUGGACUUUGUGAAAUUCUUCUCUCAACAAAAGUAAAAAAUGGUUUCAAG